AUGUUGCAGCCGCUCCGUGAACAUGAAGCAUGGUCUGUAUUUUGUAGCACCACAUUCAGGGAAAAUGCAAACCAGGAGUGCCCAUGUCACCUGCAGAAUUGGGCUCUCAAGAUACUGCAAAAAUGUUGUGGGCUGCCAUUGGCGAUUAUAUCGGUUGGAAACCUCCUUCUGUUGAAGGAGAAAACAGAGUUUGCUUGGAAGAACGUCCAUGAUAGCCUUGUGUGGGAUGAAAGAGAUGACCAUGGAAUUGGGCAAGUGGCGAGCGUAGUGAAUUUCAGUAUUGAUGACUUACUAUACCGCCUAAAGAGAUGA
rnacentral:rRNA from 1 species